AUUGAACGCUGGCGGCACGCCUUACACAUGCAAGUCGAACGGCAGCACGGGGCAACCUGGUGGCGAGUGGCGAACGGGUGAGUAAUGCAUCGGAACGUACCUUUCAGUGGGGGAUAACGUAGCGAAAGUUACGCUAAUACCGCAUAUUCUGUGAGCAGGAAAGCAGGGGAUCGCAAGACCUUGCGCUGAUUGAGCGGCCGAUGUCAGAUUAGCUAGUUGGUGAGGUAAAGGCUCACCAAGGCGACGAUAUGUAGCGGGUCUGAGAGGAGGAUUCGCCACACUGGAACUGAGACACGGUCCAGAGUCCUACGGGAGGCAGCAGUGGGGAAUUUUGGACAAUGGGGGCAACCCUGAUCCAGCCAUGCCGCGUGAGUGAAGAAGGCCUUCGGGUUGUAAAGCUCUUUCGGCCGGGAAGAAAUCGCACGGGCUAAUACCCUGUGUGGAUGACGGUACCGGAAUAAGAAGCACCGGCUAACUACGUGCCAGCAGCCGCCGUAACAC
rnacentral:rRNA from 1 species